rnacentral:rRNA from 1 species
GACUUGUGUGCAUGGGAACUCGCGGUCUUCGUCCAAAAGGGCGUUACGACAUGCGGUUCCUGUGCCGUAAAAUCUUCAACUGGAUCGCACCUGGUCUUGAUUGACUGGGAGCUGUCAUUCGGUUGAUCGUUUACUGUGAGAAAAUUAGAGUGUUCAAGGCAGGCAUAAUUGCAAUUGAAUAUGUUAGCAUGGAAUAAUAAGAUAGGGCUCCGGCUCAUAUUUUGUUGGUUUCUAGAGCGUGGGAGUAAUGAUUGAUAGGGACAGUUGGGGGUGCUAGUAUUCAGCGGCCAGAGGUGAAAUUCAUGGAUUCGCUGAAGACUGACUUAUGCGAAAGCAUU